AUUCCAGCUCCAAUAGCGUAUAUUAAUGUUGUUGCAGUUAAAAAGCUCGUAGUUGGAUUUCUGGGUUCUUCGCUAGCUUUGGUCCGCAAGGGCUUCAGUGGGCUGUUUGAAUCCAUCCUCAGGGGGACCCAUGCUGGUAUUCAUUUAUCGGUGUGGGAACGCCUGUCGUUUACUGUGAACAAAUUAGAGUGUUCAAAGCAAGGUGUACUUGAAUACAUUAGCAUGGAAUAAUAAGAUAGGACUUUGGUGGUUCUUUCGAGAUAUUUUGUUGGUUUGCACGCCAAAGUAAUGAUUAAUAGGAGCAGUUGGGGGUAUUCGUAUUCAAUUGUCAGAGGUGAAAUUCUUGGAUUUAUAGAAGACGAACUACUGCGAAAGCAUUUACCAAGGAUGUUUUCAUUA
rnacentral:rRNA from 1 species